GCCCGGGUAGCCGAACUGGUACAGGCAGCGGCCUUAAAAGCCGUCGCUCGCAAGAGCAUGCGGGUUCGAAUCCCGUCCCGGGCAC
rnacentral:tRNA from 1 species